UUGAUAUGUUUUUGUUAUCUAUCAUGAAAGGCUGAAAGAAAACUAAUAAAAUAUAUUCAGUUUUAUAAAAUAAAGAAGAGUGAACUUUGAUGAUCAUCAAAAAUAAAAUAUUAUAUCUUUAUCAAAUUAGUAAUCAAUCGAGUGAAGGAAUGAUUAAGCAUGACACAUGUUGUUACUUAGAAACAUAUCAAAAUAAUUCCAAUUUUAUUAAUAGUUUUUGUUAACUUAUAAAUAAUAACAACUAUUUCAUUAAUUUUAACAAAGAAUGGUUUUUUUUCUUAUAAAGUGAUCAAAUAAAUUUUUACUUAUUACAUACAGAAGAAAUAAAAAUGGCUCAAAUCCCAAGCUUAUUUUUUGUUCUGAUCAUUUUUGUUUCUCUUUUUAUUGUGGUAACCAAUGGAAAGUAUGUUAUCUGCCAGAAUCAUUUUGAUUGUCCAAGAAGCUUCUGCUACCCUUUUCUAACUCCAAAAUGCGUUCGUGAGUCAUGUAGGUGCAUCUAAGUGUAAGAAUUAAAUUAAAAAAUAAUGAUUUGUUAUUUGUAAUAUUGUAAUUUCCAAUUGUAUUUUAUAAUUAAUGUUGGUAAUUUAUAAUUUUCUUACCUUUUUA